rnacentral:rRNA from 1 species
UGAGGAAUAUUGGUCAAUGGGCGCAAGCCUGAACCAGCCAUCCCGCGUGAAGGAAGAAGGCGCUAUGCGUUGUAAACUUCUUUUCCAGGGGGAGAAUUUUUCCGUCGUGACGGGAAUUGACGGUACUCUGGGAAUAAGCAUCGGCUAACUCCGUGCCAGCAGCCGCGGUAAUACGGAGGAUGCGAGCGUUAUCCGGAUUUAUUGGGUUUAAAGGGUGCGUAGGCGGAUUGAUAAGUCAGUGGUGAAAACCUGCAGCUUAACUGUAGACUUGCCGUUGAUACUGUCAGUCUUGGGUGUGGUCAAGGUAGGCGGAAUGUGUAAUGUAGCGGUGAAAUGCUUAGAUAUUACACAGAACACCGAUUGCGAAGGCAGCUUACUGGGCCAUUACUGACGCUGGUGCACGAAAGCGUGGGGAUCGAACAG